ACCUACGCUACACCUAGCUACUACACCGAGGUCCCUAAUUACUACACCACUAAGGCACCUGAAGGUUACACCACACCCUACGCUUCUCCAACUUACUACAGGGACGUUUCUAAAUACUAGAGUAGAAUUUUCAAUUUUAGUAAUCAUGUUCAGAUUUGUCAGUCACAUCUUAAUAGUUGCUAGUCACUGGGAAUUGUUGAUCUAUAAUGAGAAAAUAAAUUUUUUUAACCUGGUGAAUCAUUUUGUGCGACUUCUCUUGCCACCUAAAAGCCUUUAACAUUGCGACGUUUUCUGAUUUUUAUUGGAUCUUUCCUAUUUCGCAUGUUGGAGGUGACUACUGCUCUAGUCGCUCUGCACUCCGACAUAUUCUAGUGUUUCGACAAAGGAGUUGCAGUUUGGUUUCUCAUAGAAGUUUAUUUGAAGGGUCUGGAGUUGAUCAGUCACUUGCCUAUAACUUAUGUAAAACUUCAAAGUUGUAAAAAAUAUACAAGUCGUGAACUAAA